AAUGGGUCAGCGACUUAUAUUCUGUAGCAAGGUUAACCGAAUAGGGGAGCCGAAGGGAAACCGAGUCUUAACUGGGCGUUAAGUUGCAGGGUAUAGACCCGAAACCCGGUGAUCUAGCCAUGGGCAGGUUGAAGGUUGGGUAACACUAACUGGAGGACCGAACCGACUAAUGUUGAAAAAUUAGCGGAUGACUUGUGGCUGGGGGUGAAAGGCCAAUCAAACCGGGAGAUAGCUGGUUCUCCCCGAAAGCUAUUUAGGUAGCGCCUCGUGAAUUCAUCUCCGGGGGUAGAGCACUGUUUCGGCAAGGGGGUCAUCCCGACUUACCAACCCGAUGCAAACUGC
rnacentral:rRNA from 1 species